ensembl:lncRNA
GUACUAACAAGGCAACGUCGACAGUCUGUCCUGGCAAGAGUCUGAUAGAACAGAGUGGCUUGAAAGAACAUCCAGUCCUUAUGAUGCUCGUACCUGUCAGGACAAAGAGAGGAGACAGCCUUGGAGCUUUGGUCGAUCUCGCUUCUGACACAAAUUACAUUACACACCAAGCUGCGGAAAGGCUCGGAUUGAACGGUGAACCGGUCUCCCUUGUCGUGUAUGGUGUCGGUACGAUGAAGGUUAGAGUUGAUACAAGAAGGUAUCUCGUGAAAAUAAAAGUGUGGACCUCCCGAGGAACCCUGAAACUCCACGAGAUGAUUUGCUAUGGGAUGGAAGACAUCGCCAAAGUGGAUCGAGUGGUGAAAUCGGAGCGACUAGAGCAGUUUUUCCCUGAAGUAAAGCCGGGAGAACUGGACCGCCCAAAAAAGAUUGAUCUAUUAAUCAGCACUCGUGAAGGCCGAUUAGCUCCGCAAAGACUGCAAAGGGUUGGCGAUCUAGUGUUGUGGGAUGGUCCUCUGGGCAAGAUUGUGAGUGGUGUGCAUCCUGACCUCUUCGAAGAAGUGGAGGUGGCUGCAUGGCAGUCGAAGACACACUUCGCUCAUUCAAUGAGGACAGUAGCCGUCAAAGUUGAAGAACACUUCAUGGUAAGGCCAGGAGGCCAUUUGGAGCAAGAAAACAGAGUAGAAGUUCGAACAACAGCAGCAUGCAAUAAAGAGGUCCUUGAGUGGCUAAAGUGGGACAGCAUCGGUGCUGCCUGUGAUCCUAUCUGUGGAGGAUGUCGCUGUGGAAAGUGCUCGCCAGGAGGAAAGGAGAUGUCCCUGGCUGAUGAGAAAGAGCUGGAGAUAAUAAAGGCAGGUCUAACCUUCAGAGAGAGAGACGCUCACAGCGACCAGCCCCACUGGGAUGCGAAGUAUCCCUGGAAGGAAAACCCAGUCUCUCUUCCUAACAACCGAAAGGCUGUGGAAGCAACGUUUCUGAGGACUGAGAAGCGGCUCAUGAGAGACCCUCUGUGGAAAGAGGCUUACAUGAGGCAAGUCCACGAGAUGGUAGAGAGGGGAGCUGCUG